ensembl:lncRNA
CCCUCGAUGGCCGCGAGUUGGACCAGUCCGCCCCGUCCCAGCCCAGACCCCUCCUCCGGAAGCGGGAGCCCGGGAGUAGGGGGCGCUUGGCGGCGUGCAGGAAGGCCGGGGCUCGCAUGGGGUUCUACGGGGGUUCAGACUGCAGCCUGGUCUCCUUGCUCUGCAAUGCAGCGGGCUAAGGGCAAGUCUGACCCGCCCGUCACCGCGCUGUGCAAGUGGUGCUUGUCCUCUGACUGCGGUGGAUUGGGACUUUUUAAAAACAGAUUGCGAAGCCCCCACCCGCAGGGUUUAUAGUUGUUUCUGGUGCAGGACCCAGGAAUGUGCCUUUAUCACUAAGUCUCCGAGAUGAGGACCUUCAGAAGGGUGAUCUUUCUUGGUAGCUCAGGUCCUUCCUCAUCGGUGUCUGAGCUCCUUGGUUGUCAUGAAAGACCACAGGAAUACCCCUUUCUACUCUCUUAUGCCAUGGAUGGCUUUAUGACGUUCAGUAAGGAGUCAGACCACCAUUCCCACGCACAGCAUAUGCAUGUAGUCAAGAGGACAGCCCUUCAGGAAUCGGUUCUCUCCUUCCACCAGGCGGAACCCUGGAACUCGGGUUCUUAGACUCUGCAGCAAGCAUCCUUACUCCCUGAGCCAUCUUACCGUCUCUCCACAACAGUUUUUGGACAGGAUCAGUAUUCCUGCUUUUUGAAACAUUUGAUAAUAGUGACCAGUGACUCUGUCUAGGAAUGGCAUCUCCUUUGUGAGCGGACUGUAAUCACCUAUCAGUUCGUUUACUUGCUUUUGAUCUUUCACACCUUUCUAUUUCUCCCUGAAUCAGUUUUGAUAGUUUAUUGCUUUUCAGGAAUUUGUUAUUUCAUUUAAUUAGUGAGUAAUUCAGAUUUCAAUAAUUUGUGCAUUUUUUCUUUAUUUAUUUAAAUAAAUUUAUUUUUAUUUUUGUGAGACAGUGUCUCGUGUAUCCCAAGCUAUCUGAAACUUCCCUUGAACUUGCUUUGACCUUGAACCCUUUGGUCCUCCUGCCUUAGCUUCCCAGGUGUUGGGUUUGUGUGUGUGUGUGUGUGUGUGUGUGUGUAUGUGCCAGAGAGGGUGUCAGUGUCAGAUCCCCAGUGGGCUGAGUUACAAGUGGUUGUUAGCAGCCUGACACAGGGAUUGGGAACCCAGCUCUUGUUCUUUUGGAAAAGCAGUAUGCACUCUUAACUGUCAAGCUCUCUCCAGCCACAUCUGACACCCAGUUUUAUGAGAUGCUAAAGAUUGAACCCAGGGCUCGGCC